rnacentral:lncRNA from 1 species
GGAAGAACGUGAUGCACCAAUCUUGUGGCAAAAUGAUCCACAAGAAUCUAUGAAUUAAAAGUGCCUGUGACUGAAACGGGCACAACAUUUGCAUAAAAGAUUUAAGUCUUCUGCAAGCUUUGCACAAUUUUAUCAACAUAAAGUCACAAUUGUUGGUGUGAAAAUGUGCAAAAGUUUUCCCAGGGGCUACAGCAUACAAGUGGGCCUUCUUACAUUCUCUUCCAGAAAAUUGAGAGAAAAGAAGAAAACAGAAAACUAAGACACUAUAUUACCAACAACAACACUUGGGGGAAAAAAAAAAAAAAGAAAUUCAAAUAGUCCUUGAGGACAGGUCCAUCUUUCUCCAGAAACGUACAGGAGCCAGCUGCUGAUCAGCAACUUCAUCUGACCAAUGUACAAGAAGCAACUUACACCCAACUUCCUCUGUGCCUUCCUGGUGACCCAAAGAGCCCAGCCAAGGCUAUGCUGUGCUGCAAAUGCUCUGGAAGACAUGGCUUAAACUUUUUGAAGGAGAUAAAAAGAAGUAAUUGCUGAAGGAGGAGUAUCCCCUUAACAGACUUUUCAUCCUGUCCCUCGGAAAGGACUGCAGCUGGUGAUGGUAGCAGGUGGCUCCUCCAGUGCUGAUCUGAAGAACUGCAGGCAGUCUUCUCCUCUGCAUGUUGCUAUGCUAGAAAGUAGCUGGUUUUACACAAGCCUCCAAUAAGCCUUUCCCACAACUACAUACUUUGUUCAAACCCGUUCUAGUAAGCAAACAUCA